rnacentral:lncRNA from 1 species
CAAAUUUCGGUUGUCUCACAAUGACUAUAAAAUCGUCAGAAACCUUAAUGUCGUCGCAGUGGCCGUUGAAUCGCUUCAGGACGUGUUGUGUUCGCAUGUUGUGUUGACGCAAUAUCCAAGGGACGAACCGUGGCGCAAAAAGAAUCACCUGUUAAUGAUUAUUGACGAGGGGGGCACCGGCAAACAACCCAACCCUGAAUUGCUGUAACCUACGGGAUGUACCCUUCAACCACUAGAACAACAGAAGGGUAUCGGCAAGGUACUGGACUUGUGGAGAAUGCUAUAGGUCGACAUAUGUAGUCUUCUACGUACUUGAAUAUCGUAGGGGCACGACAGUAGCGGCAUCGGUGUUCGUUCAUGUACUAAAUCAACCAGAGUUAUUCAUCAAAUUGGAGGAACGGAGAGAUGUUUGAAAACUGAAGUCAACAAGAAUGACGUACGAAGCGAACGGUCGUUCUGCCUGUCAAUUCUGUUUUUCUGCUGGCAGUUCAGCUCGGCACUUUAUUCGACUGGCGACGAGCAGAAACUGGAGAAAAUCAUUCCGGAUGAAAAGCUUGUCAAAAACACUUUGGGGCUGACUAUGCGAAACUGUCAGCAUAGCGAAACAGAAGGCUUUGGCGAAUAGAGAAGAUCCGGAAAUUUUCCGGCUGUGAAGAUCCUCUGCCUGGUGCAUUCCCAGCGAACUCGUCCUGAUCCGUCGUCUUUCAGCGUCACCGCCACAUUCAUCAAAUCAACAACUCUUUUGAGUCGACCAUAGUCUGAAUUCAAGCGAAGGUUUCUCGCAUGCUCACAAAAAGCACGCCUCUUCAAAUCUAUGGUGUGAUGCCCCUCCCAAAACAGGGCGCCCAAGAGAAAAAAGUUCCGCUACUUAACUUUUAUGUCUGACGGUAAUCUUCCUCUGCGGCGUGAGCGACAGAAGGAAGAAAGUUUCUCCUGGAUUCUAUUGCCCUUCAGGGUCUCUUUUGCCGUCAUGACAAUACCCGUGUGUGUGUUGCAGUGUGAACGGCCAGAACUGUUCAACAAAGAACUGAGUGGUGACCUCCUUACAGACUUCCCAGUGAGGAUCCUUCACUGGAAUUACUCUGUCAACGUCCAUAUUUCCAGCGUUGCUUUCGGGAAAGGACUGCGACGCUCUUCCAGUGGCACGCGGAGAGCACAGGAUCGACGAGAAUGGAGGACCG